CCGCGGCCACUGCAGCAGCAGCCGCUGCCGCCGUCGCCGAAUCAUAAUUGUGUUCGUGUUUGAUUUCCACCGUUGUAUGUUUAUUCACUGAAAAAAAAAUUUUCAAUUCAUCUUUAUUAGAUGGCCACGCGUAUACACAGCUGCAAACGAUAAGCAAAAUCUGACGUUUUGAACCAGCCAUGAGAAAUUCGACAUUCAAGUGGUCAAUCGAUCAUAACUUUUUUUAUCAUCCGGUUACAUGCCUAGAAUUGACUAGUAUACGAUUUUUAUACCAACCUAAUAGAUCUAUGGCCGCGGAAGUGGAUUGUCUGUGAUUUUCCACGUUUGACGAACCGUUAGAAGAAGAGGAGGAUGACGAAGGCUGCUUCUUGGGUUUCCUCUUCCUCGUC